rnacentral:rRNA from 2 species
GCGGACGGGUGAGUAACGCGUGGGAAUCUACCCUUUAGUUGGGGACAACAUAUGGAAACGUAUGCUAAUACCGAAUAUGCUCUACGGAGUAAAGGUGCCCUCUCCUUGGAAGGUAUCGCUAAAGGAUGAGCCCGCGUUAGAUUAGCUAGUUGGUAAGGUAAAGGCUUACCAAGGCGACGAUCUAUAGCUGGUUUGAGAGGAUGAUCAGCCACACUGGGACUGAGACACGGCCCAGACUCCUACGGGAGGCAGCAGUGGGGAAUAUUGCACAAUGAGGGAAACCUUGAUGCAGCCAUGCCGCGUGUGUGAAGAAGGCCCGAGGGUUGUAAAGCACUUUCAAUUGUGAGGAAGAUUAAGUAGCUAAUACCUGCUUAGUUUGACGUUAACUUUAGAAGAAGCACCGGCUAACUCUGUGCCAGCAGCCGCGGUAAUACAGAGGGUGCAAGCGUUAUUCGGAAUUACUGGGCGUAAAGCGCGCGUAGGCGGACUGUUAAGUCGGUUGUGAAAGCCCUGGGCUCAACCUAGGAACUGCAUCCGAUACUGGCAAUCUAGAGUUUAAGAGAGGGAAGUGGAAUUCCAGGUGUAGCAGUGAAAUGCGUAGAUAUCUGGAGGAACAUCAGUGGCGAAGGCGACUUCCUGGCUUAAAACUGACGCUGAGGUGCGAAAGCUUGGGUAGCGA